UACGUAGGGAGCAAGCGUUGUCCGGAUUUAUUGGGCGUAAAGAGCGUGUAGGCGGCCAGGUAGGUCUGCUGUGAAAACUCGAGGCUCAACCUCGAGACGUCGGCGGAAACCAUCUGGCUAGAGCCCGGAAGAGGAGAGUGGAAUUCCUGGUGUAGCGGUGAAAUGCGCAGAUAUCAGGAAGAACACCCGUGGCGAAGGCGGCUCUCUGGGACGGUACUGACGCUGAGACGCGAAAGCGUGGGGAGCGAACAGG
rnacentral:rRNA from 1 species